rnacentral:rRNA from 1 species
ACGCUCGACACCUACGGGAGGAGCAGUGGGGAAUAUUGCACAAUGGGGGAAACCCUGAUGCAGCGACGCCGCGUGGAGGAAGAAGGUCUUCGGAUUGUAAACUCCUGUUGUUGGGGAAAAAGAGGAUGGUACCCAACAAGGAAGUGACGGCUAACUACGUGCAAGCAGCCGCGGUAAUCUGAGCGGGCUGGCAAGGC